rnacentral:lncRNA from 1 species
CUGGGUGUACUGCCACAAGGCUUCACAGACGGCCCCCAUUACUUCAGUCAAGCCCAAAUUUCUUCCUCAUCUGUUACCUAUCUUGGCAUAAUUCUCAUGAAAACACACAUGCUCUCCCUGCUGAUCGUGUCUGGCUAAUCUCCCAAACCCCAAUCCCUUCUACAAAACAACAACUCCUUUCCUUCCUAGGCAUGGUUAGGUACUUCCGCCUUUGGAUACCUAGUUUUACCACCCUGACUAAACCAUUAUAUAAACUCACAAAAGCACC